AUUGAACGCUGGCGGCAGGCCUAACACAUGCAAGUCGAACGAGUGGCGGACGGGUGAGGAAUGUCUGGGAAACUGCCCGAUGGGGGGGGAUAACGACGGGCAACGGUAGCUAAUACCGCGUACCAGCGGGGGUGGCCAGAUGGGAUUAGCUAGUUGGUGGGGUAACGGCCCACCUAGGCGACGAUCCCUAGCUGGUCUGAGAGGAUGAUCAGCCACACUGGAAGUGAGACACGGUCCAGACUCCUACGGGAGGCAGCAGUGGGGAAUAUUGCACAAUGGGCGAAAGCCUGAUCCAGCCAUGCCGCGUGUAUGAAGAAGGCCUUCGGGUUGUAAAGUACUUUAAGCGAGGAGGCGUUACUCACAGAAUAAGCACCGGCUAACUCCGUGCCAGCAGCCGCGGUAAUUC
rnacentral:rRNA from 1 species